rnacentral:lncRNA from 1 species
GCAGAUUACAACAAAGAAAUGGUAAGAACCCCAGAAGAAAAGACUUCUCAUUGGCAAAAAUAAAUGCGGAAAACAAUGAGGUAAAUCAGUAGGAAAAUGGAGGGGAAUGCAUUGGUGGAAAGGUGAAGGACAGAAGUGGAGUUGAAGCAAAACCAGAUUCUCACUCUACGCAAAAGACCAGCGUGCCUCUCUCCCCAGUUCAGAGCCAGCAAGAGCCCCACUAACACCACCACCCGCUUGGUACCUGAAAGAACUGACACAAAGCACACGCAAGGACGUGGAGGAAAGCAGGAGUUAAACAGUCAACAAAAAAAAGCUGAAGAAGGUUUGGGACUGGGAAGAUGCAGAUUUAGAAAAAUAACAUUAUGAAAAUGGGCACCCUUGAAGAACAUUCUGUGCCCCUCGUCCCCCUCACCUUAUUUAUUCCAUCACCAAAUAAAGUCACAGCUGUCGG